GCCUGAUGCAGCGACGCCGCGUGCGGGAUGACGGCCUUCGGGUUGUAAACCGCUUUUAGCAGGGAGCAAGCCUUCGGGUGAGUGUACUUGUUGAAUAAGCGCCGGCUAACUACGUGCCAGCAGCCGCGGUAAUACGUAGGGCGCAAGCGUUAUCCGGAUUUAUUGGGCGUAAAGGGCUCGUAGGCGGUUUGUCGCGUCUGGUGUGAAAGUCCACUGCUUAACGGUGGAUCGGCGCCGGGUACGGGCAGGCUGGAGUGCGGCAGGGGAGACUGGAAUUCCCGGUGUAACGGUGGAAUGUGUAGAUAUCGGGAAGAACACCGAUGGCGAAGGCAGGUCUCUGGGCCGUCACUGACGCUGAGGAGCGAAAGCGUGGGGAGCGAACAGGAUUAGAUACCCUGGUAGUCCACGCCGUAAACGGUGGAUGCUGGAUGUGGGGCCCGUUCCGCGGGUUCCGUGUCGGAGCUAACGCGUUAAGCAUCCCGCCUGGGGAGUACGGCCGCAAGGCUAAAACUCAAAGAAAUUGACGGGGGCCCGCACAAGCGGCGGAGCAUGCGGAUUAAUUCGAUGCAACGCGAAGAACCUUACCUGGGCUUGACAUGUUCCCGACGGUCGCGGAGACGCGGCUUCCCUUCGGGGCGGGUUCACAGGUGGUGCAUGGUCGUCGUCAGCUCGUGUCGUGAGAUGUUGGGUUAAGUCCCGCAACGAGCGCAACCCUCGCCUCGUGUUGCCAGCGGGUAGUGCCGGGAACUCACGAGGGACCGCCGGGGUUAACCCGGAGGAAGGUGGGGAUGACGUCAGAUCAUCAUGCCCCUUACGUCCAGGGCUUCACGCAUGCUACAAUGGCCGGUACAGCGGGAUGCGACAUGGCGACAUGGAGCGGAUCCCUGAAAACCGGUCUCAGUUCGGAUCGGAGCCUGCAACCCGGCUCCGUGAAGGCGGAGUCGCUAGUAAUCGCGGAUCAGCAACGCCGCGGUGAAUGCGUUCCCGGGCCUUGUACACACCGCCCGUCAAGUCAUGAAAGUGGGUAGCGCCCGAAGCCGGUGGCCCAACCAGUUCGCUGGGGGGAGCCGUCUAAGGUGGGACCCGUGAUUGGGACUAAGUCGUAACAAGGUAGCCGUACCGGAAGGUGCGGCUGGAUCACCUCCUUU
rnacentral:ncRNA from 1 species